AAAAUUUUAAGUUAAAAAAACUAUAAACCUUCAAAGUUUAAAAUAUUAAUAUUUAUUAAAUUUUA
rnacentral:tRNA from 1 species